rnacentral:misc_RNA from 2 species
AAGUCAUAACAAGGUUUCCGUAGGUGAACCUGCGGAAGGAUCAUUAAUAAUGCCCUCUGACGCAAGUCAUUGGGUUAGAUCUGCUCUCUUCGCAAGAAGAGGGUUUCCAUACACACCGUGAACUGUGGCUUCGGCCAUCACAAACUGUUAGUAAUGAAUGUAAUAUCAUAACAAAAACAAAACUUUUAACAACGGAUCUCUUGGCUCUC